rnacentral:rRNA from 1 species
GACGAACGCUGGCGGCGUGCUUAACACAUGCAAGUCGAACGGAAAGGCCCUGCUUUUGUGGGGUGCUCGAGUGGCGAACGGGUGAGUAACACGUGAGUAACCUGCCCUUGACUUUGGGAUAACUUCUGGAAACUGGGGCUAAUACCGGAUAGGAGCUCCUGCUGCAUGGUGGGGGUUGGAAAGUUUCGGCGGUUGGGGAUGGACUCGCGGCUUAUCAGCUUGUUGGUGGGGUAGUGGCUUACCAAGGCUUUGACGGGUAGCCGGCCUGAGAGGGUGACCGGCCACAUGGGGACUGAGAUACGGCCCAGACUCCUACGGGAGGCAGCAGUGGGGAAGAUUGCCCGAUGGGCGGAAGCCUGAUGCAGCAACGCCGCGUGCGGGAUGACGGCCUUCGGGUUGUAAACCGCAUUCGCCUGUGACGAAGCGUGAGUGACGGUAAUGGGUAAAGAAGCACCGGCUAACUACGUG